rnacentral:rRNA from 1 species
UACGAAGGGGGCGAGCGUUGUUCGGAUUUACUGGGCGUAAAGGGCGCGUAGGCGGCCCUUCAAGUCAGGCGUGAAAGCCCCGGGCUCAACCUGGGAGGUGCGCUUGGGACUGGAGGGCUGGAGUUCGGGAGAGGAGCGUGGAAUUCCCAGUGUAGAGGUGAAAUUCGUAGAUAUUGGGAAGAACACCGGUGGCGAAGGCGGCGCUCUGGACCGAGACUGACGCUGAGGGCGCGAAAAGCGUGGGGGAGCAAACAGG